GGCAGAGGCAGGUCGCAAUAGCUCAGGGUGGACAGUCACCACCGAGCGCGAUCCCCAAAUAAAAUGCUAACUCAUACAAUGGAAGGGGUGAGAGCAGGGAUCAGGUUUCUUCAAAUCAGAGUUACCACCCUUUCCCCUAGGGAGCCACCGGCCCUCACUGGGCCCUGACAACAGAUGAUCCAGCCGUCAACUACCUGGGGCCAGUUACACCAUGUUGGGUCAGUCAGCAUAACCCAGGAGUGCAGUAAGGCCAGAAGGUCUUGCAUCAGUCCACCAUUCCCAGCUUUGUGCCUGGAGCAAUCCAGCAUGUGAUGGAUUCCCACAAACUGCGCUUCAAACCAUUCCUCUCAUGUGGUCUUACAGCUCCUCCUCUCAGGCUGGCAUCUGGUAACUCCUGUGAGACCCCACUGUCAGCAUGCUGCUUUUCUGACAUCUUCCCUUCAUGUUUUCAUUGUGAAUGUCCCCUUUUCCUUCCCCCAUGGGGAAUCCAAGGAUGCUGCUGCUGCCUACAUGCACUUUACUGGUCCCUUGCAUCCCGUGCUGUGUACAGCCCUUUCCCAGGGAACCCAUCAUUAACUGGCAUCUCUGAAAGUUCUAAUAAAUCAGCUCGAAGGAGGUAAAUCAGCAGAGGGUUUUCUCUGAGUUACACACUGUAGCACCGUAGGCCACUGUAGAACACCUUUUUAAACCCAACUAACUUUUGGUGCCCUCUACUCUUCCCCCUCCACCAAGCAGUAGGUGGUCAUACACAGAGUCUUUUUUCUACCCUAGUCUGAGAAGCUGUUUAGCCUAGCUCUGCUGUCACUCCCAACCGGUCAAAAUGGCACUGUGUGCUCAUUAACAAGAGCUAGUCUCUCUUCCCAUGUAAGUGCAUAGACUGGAACGAUAUUCCUCGCUCUGGCUGGUCCCCUUACUAAAAUGAAAUGCAGCACAUUGGCAAUAAAAAUCAAAUCCACUCUUCAAUGCCUAACUAUUUUUUGUUAGGAAUAUAUCUUCUAGAUUUCCUAACUAAUUCAAACAGAUGUCAAGACCUUUAAAACACUUCCAAUACUCUCUCCCCUCUUCAAUUUCUCCGCUACAAAUAUGUGUAACGUGGUAAAUGGUAUUAGAAACAAAACAAGAAAACACAGGGAACAACAAAAUGAAUUACUCCAAAUCCUGCCUCUUUGCACCAGUUACGCUCUUUUCACUGGACAACGUGCUUUGGGCUGAUCCAUGGAGAGGUUCCCAGCACCAAGAACUAGACCCCUUUAAGGAUAUCUCUCAACAGUUUUUUUUGAACAAAGCUCAUCUCCCGACCUUCUGCAAUUGAUCACCACAUAAUCUCCAAAAGAUGCAGCUGGAGUUUAACUUGCCAGUUAGACUGACUGUAGCUUUGCCAGCAUUACA